GAUGAAGAACGCAGCGAAAUGCGAUAAGUAAUGUGAAUUGCAGAAUUCAGUGAAUCAUCGAAUCUUUGAACGCACAUUGCGCCCGCCAGUAUUCUGGCGGGCAUGCCUGUUCGAGCGUCAUUUCAACCAUCAAGCCCCCGGGCUUGUGUUGGGGACCUGCGGCUGCCGCAGGCCCUGAAAACCAGUGGCGGGCUCGCUAGUCACUCCGAGCGUAGUAGUUACAUCUCGCUCAGGGCGUGCUGCGGGUUCCGGCCGUUAAAAGCCUUUUACCCCAAGGUUGACCUCGGAUCAGGUAGGAAGACACGCUGAACUUAAGCAUAUCAAUAAGCGGAGGA
rnacentral:misc_RNA from 1 species